AGAGAGAUGGCUGAGUGGUUGAAAGCGGCGGUCUUGAAAACCGUUGUGCCUUCGGGUACCGGGGGUUCGAAUCCCUCUCUCUCUGCAA
rnacentral:tRNA from 1 species